GGGUGAGUAACACGUAUCCAACCUGCCGACAACACUGGGAUAGCCUUUCGAAAGAAAGAUUAAUACCGGAUGGCAUAAUUAUUCCGCAUGGGAUAAUUAUUAAAGAAUUUCGGUUGUCGAUGGGGAUGCGUUCCAUUAGGCAGUUGGCGGGGUAACGGCCCACCAAACCUACGAUGGAUAGGGGUUCUGAGAGGAAGGUCCCCCACAUUGGAACUGAGACACGGUCCAAACUCCUACGGGAGGCAGCAGUGAGGAAUAUUGGUCAAUGGACGAGAGUCUGAACCAGCCAAGUAGCGUGAAGGAUGACUGCCCUAUGGGUUGUAAACUUCUUUUAUACGG
rnacentral:rRNA from 1 species